rnacentral:rRNA from 1 species
GAUCAUGGCUCAGGAUGAACGCUGGCGGCGUGCUUAACACAUGCAAGUCGAGCGAAGCGGCUGAAUUGAUUCUUCGGAUGAUUUUCAGUUGACUGAGCGGCGGACGGGUGGGUAACGCGUGGGUGACCUGCCCCAUACCGGGGGAUAACAGCUGGAAACGGCUGCUAAUACCGCAUAAGCGCACAGAGCUGCAUGGCUCGGUGUGAAAAACUCCGGUGGUAUGGGAUCGGG